rnacentral:rRNA from 1 species
UGGGGAAUUUUGGACAAUGGGCGCAAGCCUGAUCCAGCCAUGCCGCGUGCGGGAAGAAGGCCUUCGGGUUGUAAACCGCUUUUGUCAGGGAAGAAAUCUUCUGAGUUAAUACCUCGGGAGGAUGACGGUACCUGAAGAAUAAGCACCGGCUAACUACGUGCCAGCAGCCGCGGUAAUACGUAGGGUGCAAGCGUUAAUCGGAAUUACUGGGCGUAAAGCGUGCGCAGGCGGUUUUGUAAGACAGAGGUGAAAUCCCCGGGCUCAACCUGGGAACUGCCUUUGUGACUGCAAGGCUUGAGUGCGGCAGAGGGGGAUGGAAUUCCGCGUGUAGCAGUGAAAUGCGUAGAUAUGCGGAGGAACACCGAUGGCGAAGGCAAUCCCCUGGGCCUGCACUGACGCUCAUGCACGAAAGCGUGGGGAGCAAACAGGAUUAGAUAGCCCUGGUAGUCCACGCCCUAAACGAUGUCAACUGGUUGUUGGGAAGGUUCCUUCUCAGUAACGUAGCUAACGCGUGAAGUUGACCGCCUGGGGAGUACGGCCGCAAGGUUGAAAACUC